UACGGAGGGUGCAAGCGUUGUCCGGAUUUAUUGGGUUUAAAGGGUGCGUAGGCGGGGUUUCAAGUCUGGUUUGAAAGUUAGCUGCUCAACAGUUAGACGUGGCUGGAUACUGGGGUUCUGGAGUGGGUUGGCGGCUGCCGGAAUGGGUGAUGUAGCGGUGAAAUGCAUAGAUAUGACCAAGAACACCGAUUGCGAAGGCAGGCAGCUACGACCUGAUUGACACUGAGGCACGAGAGCAUGGGUAGCAAACAGG
rnacentral:rRNA from 1 species